rnacentral:tRNA from 2 species
AGUAAAGUCAGCUAAUAAAGCUAUUGG